rnacentral:rRNA from 1 species
GGUUAAGCGACUAAGCGUACACGGUGGAUGCCCUGGCAGUCAGAGGCGAUGAAGGACGUGCUAAUCUGCGAAAAGCGUCGGUAAGGUGAUAUGAACCGUUAUAGCCGGCGAUGUCCGAAUGGGGAAACCCAGUGUGAUUCGUCACACUAUCGUUAACUGAAUACAUAGGUUAACGAGGCGAACCGGGGGAACUGAAACAUCUAAGUACCCCGAGGAAAAGAAAUCAACCGAGAUUCCCCCAGUAGCGGCGAGCGAACGGGGAGCAGCCCAGAGUCUGAAUCAGCUUGUGUGUUAGUGGAACGGUCUGGAAAGUCCGACGGUACAGGGUGAUAGUCCCGUACACCAAAAUGCACAGGCUGUGAACUCGAAGAGUAGGGCGGGACACGUGGUAUCCUGUCUGAAUAUGGGGGGACCAUCCUCCAAGGCUAAAUACUCCUGACUGACCGAUAGUGAACCAGUACCGUGAGGGAAAGGCGAAAAGAACCCCGGCGAGGGGAGUGAAAAAGAACCUGAAACCGUGUACGUACAAGCAGUGGGAGCACCUUCGGGUGUGACUGCGUACCUUUUGUAUAAUGGGUCAGCGACUUAUAUUCUGUAGCAAGGUUAACCGUAUAGGGGAGCCGCAGGGAAACCGAGUCUUAACUGGGCGUUAAGUUGCAGGGUAUAGACCCGAAACCCGGUGAUCUAGCCAUGGGCAGGUUGAAGGUUGGGUAACACUAACUGGAGGACCGAACCGACUAAUGUUGAAAAAUUAGCGGAUGACUUGUGGCUGGGGGUGAAAGGCCAAUCAAACCGGGAGAUAGCUGGUUCUCCCCGAAAGCUAUUUAGGUAGCGCCUCGUGAACUCAUCUUCGGGGGUAGAGCACUGUUUCGGCUAGGGGGUCAUCCCGACUUACCAACCCGAUGCAAACUACGAAUACCGAAGAAUGUUAUCACGGGAGACACACGGCGGGUGCUAACGUCCGUCGUGAAGAGGGAAACAACCCAGACCGCCAGCUAAGGUCCCAAAGUCAUGGUUAAGUGGGAAACGAUGUGGGAAGGCACAGACAGCCAGGAUGUUGGCUUAGAAGCAGCCAUCAUUUAAAGAAAGCGUAAUAGCUCACUGGUCGAGUCGGCCUGCGCGGAAGAUGUAACGGGGCUAAACCAUGCACCGAAGCUGCGGCAGCGACACUAUGUGUUGUUGGGUAGGGGAGCGUUCUGUAAGCCUGCGAAGGUGACCUGUGAGGGUUGCUGGAGGUAUCAGAAGUGCGAAUGCUGACAUAAGUAACGAUAAAGCGGGUGAAAAGCCCGCUCGCCGGAAGACCAAGGGUUCCUGUCCAACGUUAAUCGGGGCAGGGUGAGUCGACCCCUAAGGCGAGGCCGAAAGGCGUAGUCGAUGGGAAACAGGUUAAUAUUCCUGUACUUGGUGUUACUGCGAAGGGGGGACGGAGAAGGCUAUGUUAGCCGGGCGACGGUUGUCCCGGUUUAAGCAUGUAGGCUGGUUAUCCAGGCAAAUCCGGAUAAUCAAGGCUGAGGUGUGAUGACGAGGCACUACGGUGCUGAAGUAACAAAUGCCCUGCUUCCAGGAAAAGCCUCUAAGCAUCAGGUAACAUCAAAUCGUACCCCAAACCGACACAGGUGGUCAGGUAGAGAAUACCAAGGCGCUUGAGAGAACUCGGGUGAAGGAACUAGGCAAAAUGGUGCCGUAACUUCGGGAGAAGGCACGCUGGUGUGUAGGUGAAGUCCCUGCGGAUGGAGCUGAGACCAGUCGAAGAUACCAGCUGGCUGCAACUGUUUAUUAAAAACACAGCACUGUGCAAACACGAAAGUGGACGUAUACGGUGUGACGCCUGCCCGGUGCCGGAAGGUUAAUUGAUGGGGUUAUCCGUAAGGAGAAGCUCUUGAUCGAAGCCCCGGUAAACGGCGGCCGUAACUAUAACGGUCCUAAGGUAGCGAAAUUCCUUGUCGGGUAAGUUCCGACCUGCACGAAUGGCGUAAUGAUGGCCAGGCUGUCUCCACCCGAGACUCAGUGAAAUUGAACUCGCUGUGAAGAUGCAGUGUACCCGCGGCAAGACGGAAAGACCCCGUGAACCUUUACUAUAGCUUGACACUGAACAUUGAGCCUUGAUGUGUAGGAUAGGUGGGAGGCUUUGAAGCGUGGACGCCAGUCUGCGUGGAGCCAACCUUGAAAUACCACCCUUUAAUGUUUGAUGUUCUAACGUUGGCCCCUUACCGGGGUUGCGGACAGUGUCUGGUGGGUAGUUUGACUGGGGCGGUCUCCUCCCAAAGCGUAACGGAGGAGCACGAAGGUUAGCUAAUCCUGGUCGGACAUCAGGAGGUUAGUGCAAUGGCAUAAGCUAGCUUGACUGCGAGCGUGACGGCGCGAGCAGGUGCGAAAGCAGGUCAUAGUGAUCCGGUGGUUCUGAAUGGAAGGGCCAUCGCUCAACGGAUAAAAGGUACUCCGGGGAUAACAGGCUGAUACCGCCCAAGAGUUCAUAUCGACGGCGGUGUUUGGCACCUCGAUGUCGGCUCAUCACAUCCUGGGGCUGAAGUAGGUCCCAAGGGUAUGGCUGUUCGCCAUUUAAAGUGGUACGCGAGCUGGGUUUAGAACGUCGUGAGACAGUUCGGUCCCUAUCUGCCGUGGGCGCUGGAGAAUUGAGGGGGCUGCUCCUAGUACGAGAGGACCGGAGUGGACGCAUCACUGGUGUUCGGGUUGUCAUGCCAAUGGCACUGCCCGGUAGCUAAAUGCGGAAGAGAUAAGUGCUGAAAGCAUCUAAGCACGAAACUUGCCCCGAGAUGAGUUCUCCCUGAGACUUUAAGUCUCCUGAAGGAACGUUAAAGACGAUGACGUUGAUAGGCCGGGUGUGUAAGCGCAGCGAUGCGUUGAGCUAACCGGUACUAAUGAACCGUGAGGCUUAACCUU